rnacentral:rRNA from 1 species
UACGGAGGGGGCGAGCGUUAUUCGGAAUUAUUGGGCGUAAAGGGCGCGUAGGCGGCCCUGCAAGUCAAAGGUGAAAUCCCUCGGCUCAACUGAGGAACUGCCUUUGAAACUGUGGGCUUGAGGCCGGGAGGGGGUAGCGGAAUUCCCAGUGUAGCGGUGAAAUGCGUAGAUAUUGGGAGGAACACCAGUGGCGAAGGCGGCUACCUGGACCGGUACUGACGCUGAUGCGCGAAAGCGUGGGUAGCAAACAGG